AAUUCUCGGUCACGAUUUGAUACAUAAUUUCUGUGUAUAAAAGUUCUCAUAAAAUGCAUAAACGAUCCUCUCGUUGAGAGAUUAGCAACGGUAUAUCCCACGUAGCGUUAAAAAUCUAGAACUCCCCGAAUUUGCCCAUAAAAAAUAAUUACAAAAUAUACCCCGUACUUAAUCAUAGAUUACACUUCAACCCCAAAUAGGAUCCAAACUAAAAUAUCUACUAUCAAAUCAUCUCUAGGCACAUAAUUAUACUUAUUAGCCGUUAAUCACGUACUUAAAAAGAUUAAAAGUAUUUAAACAGGUCAGGAUAUUAUAUUGCACAUCCACCGCAGUGAGAUAGGGUAUAGGGUUGGUGAUGGUGUUUUGGAUGGUUGGAUUGAGAUUUGGGUUUGAUGAAUUAAGCAAUCAUAGAUGGGUGAGUGUUUGGGAUUUCGAGAUUAAAAAUUUGAAGAGGCAUGGCAUAGCCUGGGUAAGAAUUGGAUUAUGUGCUUGCGCAGGGGUAAGAUUUGGGUUCUUCUCAGUUUUUGGGUUAGCUAGUUGGUGGUUGUAGGGGGCUGGUGGUGGGUGGAAUCUAGGCUUGGUUUCGAUUUUGGGCCUGCUUAGUGCUCUGAACAAGCAACAAAUCAGUCAAAGCACGAAUUGCUGUGAGGAUCUCAAUUUGAGUAUCGUGGAUAGCCUGCAACGCUUCAAUGGUUAUAUCAACCUGAAUAAGCCUCUCAGUCGAGGAGGUCUAGCUAUGAGCUUCCCUUCUUCCAUCUCCACCAGCACCUUCUCCUUCCACCAUCUCUAUUUUGGUCACUUCCUGGCCACUUCUCAGACUAACCAUUCACAAAUCCUCCUCCCUAGCAGAGUCACCCAAAGAUGUGGGUAUGGAUUCGUGUUUGUUACCAGAGAGAUAGGAACAUGCAAAUGAUUUCGCCAGAAUGAAUAGAGAAAGAUUGGAGAUUGAAGUACAAAGCUGAGUGAAGUGGGAGCACCACGCAACUUGGUAUAAGAACAAA
rnacentral:lncRNA from 1 species